AUUGAACGCUGGCGGCAGGCCUAACACAUGCAAGUCGAGCGAGCGGCGGACGGGUGAGGAAUGUAUGGGGACUGCCCGAUAGAGGGGGAUAACUACUGGAAACGGUAGCUAAUACCGCAUACUAUCGGAUAACCGAUAUGGGAUUAGCUAGUAGUUGAGGUAAUGGAUCACCCAGGCGACGAUCCCUAGCUGGUGUGAGAGGAUGAUCAGCCACACUGGGACUGAGACACGGCCCAGACUCCAACGGAGGCAGCAGUGGGGAAUAUUGCACAAUGGGCGCAAGCGUGAUGCAGCCAUGCCGCGUGUAGGAAGAAGGCCCUAGGGUUGAAAAGUUCUUUCAGUCGGGAGGCGUUACCAAAAGAAGAAGCACCGGCUAAUUCCGUGCCAGCAGCCGCGGUAAUAC
rnacentral:rRNA from 1 species